UGACGGUACCUGACUAAGAAGCACCGGCUAAAUACGUGCCAGCAGCCGCGGUAAUACGUAUGGUGCAAGCGUUAUCCGGAUUUACUGGGUGUAAAGGGAGCGCAGGCGGCCAUGCAAGCCAGAGGUGAAAACCCGGGGCUCAACCCCGUGAUUGCCUUUGGAACUGUUUGGCUUGAGUACUGGAGGGGCAGGCGGAAUUCCUGGUGUAGCGGUGAAAUGCGUAGAUAUUAGGAGGAACACCAGUGGCGAAGGCGGCCUGCUGGACUGUUACUGACGCUGAGGCGCGAAAGCGUGGGGAGCAAACAGGAUUAGAUACCCUG
rnacentral:rRNA from 1 species